CAGAAAUAAAAAGAAAAUUUCUUCAAACAUUUUUUUUUAGAGAGGAUUAAUAUUCAACAGCAAAGUGAAUUGCUCAAAAGCAAAAAAAAAAUGUUUAAGUUCAUUAGACCACAUUCAUUCUGUGUCAGAAACCUAUGCUGUGUCAACUAUUUAAUCACAAUCCAAAUUUAGAGCUGAAUCCAGCUUGAAUGUUGUGUCCAUACUUGCCCCA
rnacentral:lncRNA from 1 species